CUCCGCCGGCGACCGGCGCACGGGUGAGUAACACGUAUGCAACCUGCCCCUGUCAGGGGACAACCCGCCGAAAGGCGGGCUAAACCCGCGUACAUGCCACCGGGGCAUCCCGGAGGCAGGAAAGGCUUCGGCCGGACAGGGAUGGGCAUGCGGCGCAUUAGGCAGUAGGCGGGGUAACGGCCCACCUAACCGACGAUGCGUAGGGGUUCUGAGAGGAAGGUCCCCCACACUGGUACUGAGACACGGACCAGACUCCUACGGGAGGCAGCAG
rnacentral:rRNA from 1 species